UACGAAGGGGGCUAGCGUUGUUCGGAUUUACUGGGCGUAAAGCGCACGUAGGCGGCUUGUUAAGUCGGUGGUGAAAUCCUGGAGCUCAACUCCAGAAUUGCCUUCGAUACUGGCUUUCUAGAGGCUGGAAGAGGUUAGUGGAAUUCCCAGUGUAGAGGUGAAAUUCGUAGAUAUUGGGAAGAACACCAGUGGCGAAGGCGGCUAACUGGUCCAGAUCUGACGCUGAGGUGCGAAAGCGUGGGGAGCAAACAGG
rnacentral:rRNA from 1 species